rnacentral:lncRNA from 1 species
GUCCCCUCAGUUGUCUACAGUCUAGACUUGUAUUUCCUGUUUUCCCUUGAGUGCAUUUUCUAGAAUUCUGAUUAUAUUUGGUGCUUGUGCGUGAAUUUUCUUAAAUGGGUUCCCAUGUCUUUUCAAGUGGGAUGUCCCAGUCUUGACCCAGGACUUCAGGUGAAGUUUAUUGAUGUUGUGUAGAGCAGAAGGGCUACUGGGGCUGUUUCAUAAUGCUACUUUUAUGCUUUGUCAGAAGAAUUAUGCAUUUCUCGGGCACAAUACUGGCUGAAAAUAAGUAAAUAAAAGACAGCUAGCUUACUAUGUGACUUUCCCAAGUUUUUACAAAGAUUUACAAAUACCACGCUAGCAAAAAUGACUAGCAUUUAAUUGCAUAGCUCAGAUCCUUCAGAUUUAGCCAAGACCCUAAAUCCUGUUGAUACAUACUAUUUACACAGCCCUAGCAAUUUGUUACUGAUAAUGAAACCACAGAGACACACAAUGCUGUGUCAGAACUCAGUAGGCUGAAGUAAGAUUAGUUGGCUCAACAUUUCCCUACCUGCCAAAUCCUUGCUCAACAUUGCUAUCAAUAAUUCCAUUUACUGGCAUUAAAAUGCAAAAUGUGAACUAUCAUGAUGAUAUAGCAUUAACUUCCCACUAGUAAAUACAAGUAAAUACAAGUAAAUUUUAUUACACGAAAAUAAAAAAAACAAAUACAGAUGUGAUGGGAAAGUGAAAUACAUUGUUUUGCAGAACGUCUUAACUAAAUAUUUCUUCUGCUUUCACUCUGUUUACCAUCUCAUCUCCCUGUUGUGAUGGCUGAAGAUGUAGUAAUAAGUAGAAAUUUUCUUGAUGGAUGGUUUAUUAGCAGAAACAAAGGGAAAAAGAAUCCUUUUAAGAAAAGUUAGUACAUUUUAGAUAGUGUAUCAAUGCUUAUGAAAAUCUUGUACUUAUUACCAGAAUUUAAAAAUUAUACUGUGAGCAGUUGUAAAUUUUCCUUGUACUGUCAGGUACCAUUCUUGCGUAAAAGGAGAAUUUCUCCAAAUUCAAGUUUUAUUUUAACAAAUUCGGUAUUUGUACUAACCACACAACUCUUGCAAGUUAGAAUUUCUUCCUUUCUGUUUUACCAGACUGUCAGGUGCAUUACAGCUUGUAUGGCUCUAUGGUUCUUCUGUAGACAAUUGCCAUCUGCGCUUAGAGGCAUUAUUAUCUUUACAACAGAAGCCAAGAUCUAAUAUUGCAGUUAUUUCAGAAGUGAGACUGAUUACUGCUGGUUAAAAAUUCUGGGGCUGAAAGAUCUGGACUGAAAUUCCGUAUCCAUGAAAUCAGUAAGGCCAUCAGCAGCAGCACCAGUUUGCCUCGUGCUGCUCUGCUAAUACACCUUAAUCUGUCCUGGGGGAACUCAGCUAGUCAUGGCAUUUCCUCUGCGGCUGUCAGCAGGUAUUUCAGUUGCUGCCACCACUCUCCUGCUUCUCCUAUUGGACACCUGUCUUGCUACAAAUAAAUUGGUAAAAAGACAGCA